rnacentral:rRNA from 1 species
GACGAACGCUGGCGGCGUGCUUAACACAUGCAAGUCGAACGGAAAGGCCCUGCUUUUGUGGGGUGCUCGAGUGGCGAACGGGUGAGUAACACGUGGGUAACCUGCCCUUGACUUUGGGAUAACUUCAGGAAACUGGGGCUAAUACCGGAUAGGAGCUCCUGCUGCAUGGUGGGGGUUGGAAAGUUUCGGCGGUUGGGGAUGGACUCGCGGCUUAUCAGCUUGUUGGUGGGGUAGCGGCUUACCAAGGCUUUGACGGGUAGCCGGCCUGAGAGGGUGACCGGCCACAUUGGGACUGAGAUACGGCCCAGACUCCUACGGGAGGCAGCAGUGGGGAAUAUUGCACAAUGGGCGGAAGCCUGAUGCAGCAACGCCGCGUGCGGGAUGACGGCCUUCGGGUUGUAAACCGCUUUCGCCUGUGACGAAGCGUGAGUGACGGUAAUGGGUAAAGAAGCACCGGCUAACUACGUG